UCUCCAAACUGGGAACAUGGUUUCUGAGAUGUUUUAAGUGUUCUAUUCCAUCCCUCCUCUCCCAGAUUAGGACUGAAUUAUUUUUCCUCCACCGAUAGUCUGAACUAAGGCUUUCCCCACACUCUAAUGCUUUCCUUGAAGUCUUAAUAGUCCCUUUCCAAACUUUCCAAGCAGAGAAGCAUGAGUUGAUAUUAAAGGGUGACAAAUACUUAAGCUCUAUGACAGAUGCUGUGAGCUGUCUGCCCUGUAUCCUUCUUUACUAACUGCCCCUUUCUUCUUUAGUAACAAAACCCCAGUUUUCAUUUGAUGCUAUAGCUAGGGAUGACCACAUAACAACAUCAUGGCUAAUGAUACAUAAGGUUAGGGUUUCUGAGAGAGAUUUUGUUUUCCUAAUGUUGCCAUUUCCUAUCUUCCACUCCAUUUUCUUUCUGCUUUGUAAAUAUAAUGUGUUGUCUGGUGGUGCAGCAACCAUUUUGCAAGCAUGAGGCAAAAAGUUUGCAGAUGAAGAUCUAUGGGUUAAGGAUGAUGAAAUGGGAAGAAAAUGGAAAGAACCUGGGUUCUUGAUUGCAUUGUUAUAGAACCCCAGCCUGCCUAACUGAAGCAUAUAAUUGUUGGAAAGCCAUUGGAAAGUUGGAACAGAGGAACCACAUAGUCUGCCAUACUUUAAGAGGAUUCUUCUGGCUCCCACACUUCGAGGGGUGCAGAAGCAAGAAGGCCUCUGAAGUGAUCUGUGGAGAAAGGACGGCAGCUUGGACUGGAGUGGCAGCAAUGACAUGUGAAGAGCAGGAGGAUUCUCAGGUGUCCCAUAUCCCCAAGCGCCUGUAGUUAAGCUGGAUUUGCACAGUAGCAAUAAAACUUUUAAGAAGGAAGUCUCCUGAAUGGAUCAGUCUGACCCUUAAUGUUGACUGAGUCACGAUUG